GAUGAACGCUGGCGGCGUGCUUAACACAUGCAAGUCGAACGAAGCACUUUAUUACGAUUUCUUCGGAAUGACGAUUUAGUGACUGAGUGGCGGACGGGUGAGUAACGCGUGGGUAACCUGCCUUAUACAGGGGGAUAACAGUUAGAAAUGACUGCUAAUACCGCAUAAGCGCACAGGACCGCAUGGUCUGGUGUGAAAAACUCCGGUGGUAUGAGAUGGACCCGCGUCUGAUUAGCUAGUUGGUGAGGUAACGGCCCACCAAGGCGACGAUCAGUAGCCGACCUGAGAGGGUGACCGGCCACAUUGGGACUGAGACACGGCCCAAACUCCUACGGGAGGCAGCAGUGGGGAAUAUUGCACAAUGGGGGAAACCCUGAUGCAGCGACGCCGCGUGAAGGAAGAAGUAUUUCGGUAUGUAAACUUCUAUCAGCAGGGAAGAAAAUGACGGUACCUGACUAAGAAGCCCCGGCUAACUACGUG
rnacentral:rRNA from 1 species